GACGAACGCUGGCGGCGUGCUUAACACAUGCAAGUCGAACGGAAAGGCCCUACUUUUGUGGGGUGCUCGAGUGGCGAACGGGUGAGUAACACGUGAGUAACCUGCCCUUGACUUUGGGAUAACUUCAGGAAACUGGGGCUAAUACCGGAUAGGAGCUCCUGCUGCAUGGUGGUGGUUGGAAAGUUUCGGCGGUUGGGGAUGGACUCGCGGCUUAUCAGCUUGUUGGUGGGGUAGUGGCUUACCAAGGCUUUGACGGGUAGCCGGCCUGAGAGGGUGGCCGGCCACAUUGGGACUGAGAUACGGCCCAGACUCCUACGGGAGGCAGCAGUGGGGAAUAUUACACAGUGGGCGGGAGCCUGAUGCAGCAACGCCGCGUGCGGGAUGACGGCCUUCGGGUUGUAAACCGCUUUCGCCUGUGACGAGGCGUGAGUGACGGUAAUGGGUAAAGAAGCACCGGCUAACUACGUG
rnacentral:rRNA from 1 species